GCGGACGUGGCAGAGUGGUAAUGCGUCGGCCUUGAGAGCCGAUUCGCCCUCGGGCGAUCAGGAGUUCAAAUCUCCUCGUCCGCG
rnacentral:tRNA from 1 species